rnacentral:rRNA from 1 species
UACGUAGGGGGCGAGCGUUAUCCGGAUUUACUGGGCGUAAAGCGCGUUAAGGCGGCCGACAAAGUUGGUGGUGAAAUUUCAGGGCUCAACUCUGAAACUGCCUCCAAUACUGGUCGGCUUGAGUGCGAUAGAGGAAGGUGGAAUUCCCGGUGUAGUAGUGAAAUGCGUAGAUAUCGGGAAGAACACCCGUGGCGAAGGCGGCUCUCUGGGACGGUACUGACGCUGAGACGCGAAAGCGUGGGGAGCGAACAGG